AGAAGUAACUUUUAUUUAUUCAAUUCUAUCAAUCUGAUCCAUUGAACUGGAUAUUAGUUGCAGGUUAGCAUUCCCAGGUCAGUGGAGUAGUUUUAAACCUUGAAAAUAUUUAACUUGUAAAAAGUUUAAAUUGGCUCAUUUGAACUUGACAAAAAAAAUCAAGAAACCAGUUUAAUUCUCGAGCGAAUCUUUAGCUUAAAGUAAACUGAAAACUCAUCACUCAAUCCGUACUUUUCUGAAAUGUCCCCCUGCCCGUCGUUGCUGGGACGCUGCAGCUUCUCAACGAGGUCGUUUUUGUUGUACUAUUUGUUAAAGUAACCAGCAGGUGUCGCCAAAGCGUUAUUUUAGGCCCCGGCUGUCUGCAACGUGUGCUGUACAGUAGGACAGCUGAGCUUUAUUUUGCCUCCCAGCCGUGACACCACUGUAGUGCAGUUGGACCUGACGUCUAACAUCCACAGCAUCACACACUCAACCAACCAACCGGUCACGGCGGCUUUGCACGUGAGUGGCGGCACGAGCAGCUGGUUCACCACAACAGAGCCUGCUAGGAAUUGCUAAGGCUGGUUAGCAUGGCCAUUGAUGACGGCAGAUAGUUUUCCUGGAGCACUGUGGAGCCAACCUGAGAGUGGCGGAGGAGUUGCUGAUGAAUUUCGGAUGGGAUGUAUGUGGGAAGAGGAAAACAAAACCAGGAAGCAAAAGAUCAAAAUGAAUCAGAGGGGACGGCAAUAAGAGCUGCCUAUGAAAGACAACUCUGAGCCGCGCCCAGGCCGCAUCCUUUAUCUUCUCACCGUGCCACAAAAUCCCCAUCAAUCUCUGUCACAAUCCGUCCUCUUUUCCUGUGAGCCAUCCCUUUAUUCUCCCCUCCUUCAGAACAUAGCUGAACCCCCUUCUACAGACCAGUGAUCCAGGCAGCAGCAAAAAAAAAAAAAAAAAAAAAAAAGGGGGGACGAGACAAGCUGUCACUAAGCACAGGAGGGACCCUGACUCGCUGCUGGGUGUGAGAAAACAGCUGCCUCUCGCUUGGUCACAUGGACUGUUAAUGAACAGAGAUGGCAGUGAGACUAGCCGGUGCCACCCUGUCCUCUCGACCACCCUCCCCCCCUCCGACGGCCUCUGCCCGGACAGGUUAAGGUCGGUCCAUCGGCAUCCAUCGCAGCAUCCACAGCAGCUGGCUGAGCGUGGGAAGGAACAGUAUGCAGGAAACUGACCUACCAGCUACAAAUGCCUUCAAAGAGUGCAAGUUCCACUGCACCAACGGGAAUUGCUUGCGUCUGGGCUCGCUGAUCUGCAACCAGCUGAAUAACUGUGGGGACAACAGCGACGAGGAGAACUGUCCCGUGGUGACCCAGCACCCUCCACCUGGAAUCUUCAACUGUAAGUGCUGCGGGAUGUUGCUCCAACUCAGCUCCUCUAUCUGGUACACAAAUAUCUUUCCUUUUUUCUUUUUUGCUGUUCGUCUCUUUUUCCUCAUCUAUCUGCUGUUUUACUGUCGUCUCAUCUGCUGGUUGCUCUUGUCAGCCACCAGGAGACAGAAAUAGUUUCUUUGUCUUAGUUUAAAAAAAUAGAAAUAUCAAACCGAGAGUUGAAAAAUCAACUCUUUAUUUUCAAAUUUUCCACUGUAUAUUUAAGAAAACAAUGUAAUGAAUCAUCAAAAAUAGCUCUGGUUUAUUACAGGGUAAUAAAUCCUUUAUUAAACUGUAAUAAAGAAUUACAGUGUAGUCCUUUAUUACACUGUAAGGAUUACACUUUAUUACAGAGUAAUAAAGUGUAAUAGAUCUAAUAAGUGUGAUAAAGUGCAAUAAAGUGUAAUCUUUAUUACAAAUAAUCCUUUAGCGUUAAAUAGAGUCAUAUUCAAGCUGGAUGAUCAUUCAUUUCAGAAAAGAUUUUUACUAACAUUAAAAUAAUUAUACGGCCAUAAUUCUAUUUAUGUUUUUUUUUCUCAGAACAAGUGUAUUUUAUACACCUGGUGAAUGCUUUAGCUUUUUUUAUUUAUAGAUUAUUUAAAAUUUCAUGGGUGGAGCAGAAAAUGUCCUCCAAUUCUGGAAUGAUGCAACAUAACAACAACAUAACUUCUAACAAAGAUGUGAAAUAAGAAUCCAACAAAUAAACCAAGUUAUACACAACAGAAAAAUAAACUAAUUUACCAAAAGCAAAAACCUGCACAUAAAGCUGUAGAAAAUGAAUUCCCUUCAUAGUUGUUCUGUUUUUGUUGGACUUUAAUAUUUUAGAUUAUGAAAUGUUUACUUU